CCUACUCCCACGAGAUCGUACUCGGUACCCACACCGACGACUCCCCCAACCACUUUAUGCUCGUGGUAGCCGUCCUUCCGCUUCCGGUACUGGAUGCAUAACGGCUGUUUGAGAUAUGAAACCAUCAAGAAAAUCUCAGCAAUGCUCAAGAUCGAAUUGCAGAUGCAACACAAAUGUUUAGACUGUUUACUGCAGAUAACAUGAAGUAUCGAGCAUUUUAUUAGUGAGAUCAUCUCACUCCACUGAACAUUUUAGAUCGACUUGCAGAAGCUGAAGCUUCAAUCUGUUUAAAUGAGUUUCAGACUUUUUAGAAGAGCUGAAACAUGUGUCAUUUGGUAGCCUGCUUGAUGCAUGUGUAUGCUGAAACAAGAACUGAAUCCUUCAUGCUAUUUAUAA